GAUGAAGAACGCAGCGAAAUGCGAUACGUAAUGUGAAUUGCAGAAUUCAGUGAAUCAUCGAGUCUUUGAACGCACAUUGCGCCCCCUGGUAUUCCGGGGGGCAUGCCUGUCCGAGCGUCAUUGCUGCCCUCAAGCACGGCUUGUGUGUUGGGCCUCCGUCCUCCUCCCGGGGGACGGGCCCGAAAGGCAGCGGCGGCACCGCGUCCGGUCCUCGAGCGUAUGGGGCUUCGUCACCCGCUCUUGUAGGCCCGGCCGGCGCUUGCCGACACAUCAAUCUUUUUUCCAGGUUGACCUCGGAUCAGGUAGGGAUAUCCGCUGAACUUAAGCAUAUCAAUAAGCGGAGGA
rnacentral:misc_RNA from 1 species